GACGAACGCUGGCGGCGUGCCUAACACAUGCAAGUCGAACGGAACUGUGUUGAAAGAUUUCUUCGGAAUGUAUCGGAUUAAGUUUAGUGGCGGACGGGUGAGUAACGCGUUAGUACCCUGCCUUCAACAGGGGACUAACGCUCUGAAAAGAAUGUUUAUACCGCAUCACAUAUCGGAACCACAAGAUUGUGAUACUAAAGAUUUUAUCUCUUGAAGAUGGACUUGCGUUCGUUUAGUUAGUUGGUGAGGUACCGGCGAACCAAGACCGCGAUCGGUAGCCGGACAAAUGGGUUGCACGGCCACAUUGGGACUGAGACACGGCCCAGACUCCUACGGGAGGCAGCAGUAGGGGAUAUUGCGCAAUGGGCGCAACCCUGACGCAGCAACGCCGCGUGAAGGAUGAAGGUUUGCGGAUUGUAAACUUCUUUUAUUAAGGACGAAAAAUGACGGUACUUAAUGAAUAAGCCCCGGCUAACUACGUG
rnacentral:rRNA from 1 species